ACAGAGGUGGCGAGCGUUACUCGGAUUUAUUGGGUGUAAAGGGCAAGUAGGCGUCUUGACAAGUUGGAGGUGAAAUCCUGCAGCUCAACUGCAGAACUGCUCCCAAAACUAUCAAGAUUGAGACUGGGAGAGGAAAGCGGAAUUCUCGGUGUAAGAGUGAAAUCUGUAGAUAUCGAGAGGAACACCAGUGGCGUAGGCGGCUUUCUGGUCCAGUACUGACGCUGAAGUGCGAAAGCUAGGUGAGCAAACAG
rnacentral:rRNA from 1 species